AAGGGUCCUGAAGGAACGUUAAAGACGAUGACGUUGAUAGGCCGGGUGUGUAAGCGCAGCGAUGCGUUGAGCUAACCGGUACUAAUGAACCGUGAGGCUUAACCUU
rnacentral:rRNA from 1 species